AUGAAGAACGCAGCAAAAUGCGAUAAGUAAUGUGAAUUGCAGAAUUCAGUGAAUCAUCGAAUCUUUGAACGCACAUUGCGCCCGCCAGUAUUCUGGCGGGCAUGCCUGUUCGAGCGUCAUUUCAACCCUCAAGCACAGCUUGGUGUUGGGACUCGCGUUAAUUCGCGUUCCCCAAAUUGAUUGGCGGUCACGUCGAGCUUCCAUAGCGUAGUAGUAAAACCCUCGUUACUGGUAAUCGUCGCGGCCACGCCGUUAAACCCCAACUUCUGAAUGUUGACCUCGGAUCAGGUAGGAAUACCCGCUGAACUUAAGCAUAUCAAUAAGCGGAGGA
rnacentral:misc_RNA from 1 species